GUCAAGUGCUCUGUGUUGGGCUUAGCCAAUGGAGUGCGUUGCCACCCUAUUUAUUUGUGGGUAACUUUGAACUCGGGAGGCGCGACAAUCCGUCCCCCCUCACCUUGCCGGGUCCUGUCACACCCCUUCCUGUUUGCUUGUGGCUGGUAAGCACGAUUGCGUUUUGAUCUUCCUGUUAUUCUGCUUACCUUUUUCAUGUAUUGCGAUCAUGACCGAAUCUGGUUACUUUCUCAGUGUCCCCACCGCUUGGCUCUGCGGUCUCGGUCAGCAAAUGCUCAACUUUGCGAGGCGACUUCUCUGCCAGUGAUUGAACCUUUUCUAUGGUCGUGCCCAGCGGUGCAUGUCGUGCACGGUGAAUUCCCAAAUGUGCUUGUGCCGUCGCUAAUGAAGCACUGAUGCUCUGAAGUCUACGCAUUUCGCUGGGAGUAGGCGAAGUUGUGAAUCACCUGGUACGUGCCAUCCUUUCGAUUUUUCCCUACUCCGCGUUUAUUAUGCAUAGUGUUAAUCAGGCGUUUCAUUGUACUCUCUAGGUGUUGCCGGUUUUGCUCUGUUGCUGCUGCUGUUCUUGCCAACGCCAAAUUCUACUGAGUGCUGCUUCGCUGGCUGGUGUAACCUUGAACUAGCCGCCUGCACUACGAGAGCCGUGACUGAAACACCAACCACUAAAGCACUUUAAACGGCCUUAUCGCUUUUUAACAUUUGCAGUGUGAACGUGUGUGUGUGUGUGUGUGUGUGUGUGUGUGUGUGUGUGUGUGUGUGUGUGUGUGUGUGUGUGUGUGUGGUUGUGUUCGUCAAUUUGUGUGUGUGUGUGGGGAUCCUUUCCUUUUUGGGUUACUAAGUUGAGGGAUUUUGUUUUGUUUUUGUCCUGCUUAAGUUCCACCACUGGCAGGAGGCCCUUUUUGCCAUAGCUGUAGAUAGCCAGUGGGCUGUCUUAUUAUUGGGCCUGUGUUGUACUUUAUUUUCGAUUAAUCGCUUUUCUUUUGUACCAUUUGUUUAUUUCAUUUAAGGCUACAAGCGCCUUAUUUAUAUUCAUUUUUGUUUGAGACCAAUCACGCCUACACCUUCCCUGUGUAGUAGCAAACAAUUGUUUGUUAAGUGCAUGUUAACUCUGGUGGGAGGCUUAGGUCAGCUGCGGAUCAUCAAUGAUCCAGUUUCCCCUCCCCUUAGUCUGUAACUGGCGUGAUUGAGUCAUUUCUUGUUUAUUUGUGUUGUAUUCUGACCCUCCCCUUACCUCUCCUCUUCUUCUUUAUUUUACAGGUGCUGAGUGCCCAAAGCAGGGUGGCAGUAGAUCCCAAAGGUGGUGGUAUUUCCUGCUAGGACCAGCAUGGGGUAUUUGAGGGGGAGGCCGUGACCAGGACGAAUGCAAUGCCAAAGCACAGACUGCACAACGCCCAAGUUGGUGAGGAUCAGCAGGAGUUAAAUGUGAAGAACCCAUGGGCGGCUGAUGACCUCCACCAUUGGUGCAGGGAGCUUUGCAGACUGGACAGUGGUUGUUAGUGGAAUGCACAAUGAUGAACCAGGGCCCAGCAGAGCUGCACCAGGGGCUUCGGAGUUGAGUGGGGAUCAGAUCCAGGACAUGGCUGGCCUGUGGCUAUAUUAUAUUAUUUCAUAUUGGUUUUUUUUCACAGUCAUGGCUGUAUGUCUUUGUUUUUGCUUUUUGAGCAUGCUGCAGUGCUUUUAUUUAGCUUGUUUUUAAUGUUUGUGUUUCAAUAAAAUGCUGAUG